rnacentral:rRNA from 1 species
UACGUAGGUGGCAAGCGUUGUUCGGAAUUAUUGGGCGUAAAGGGCGCGUAGGCGGUUUGGCAAGUCGGGUGUGAAAACUCCGGGCUCAACUCGGAGACGCCACUCGAUACUGCCAUGACUCGAGUCCGGUAGGGGAGUGCGGAAUUCCUGGUGUAGCGGUGAAAUGCGUUGAUAUCAGGAGGAACACCCAUGGCGAAGGCAGCAAACUGGGCAUUAUCUGACGCUGAGGCGCGAAAGCGUGGGUAGCAAACAGG